rnacentral:precursor_RNA from 1 species
UCUGAGGGCGAAGUCGUACUGCUGACUGCAUCGAGGUGUGGCAGCAGUAAGGUGUUUCCCUCGGAU